GCAGGCUGCAACCCGACCCUGCAUGAAGCUGGAAUCGCUAGUAAUCGCGGAUCAGAAUGCCGCGGUGAAUACGUUCCCGGGUCUUGUACACACCGCCCGUCACACCAUGGGAGUCGGUAACGCCCGAAGUCAGUGACCCAACCUUAAGGAGGGAGCUGCCGAAGGCGGGACUGGUAACUGGGGUGAAGUCGUAACAAGGUAAC
rnacentral:rRNA from 1 species